AUUGAACGCUGGCGGCAGGCCUAACACAUGCAAGUCGAGCGAGCGGCGGACGGGUGAGUAAUGCCUGGGAAUUGCCCAGUCGAGGGGGAUAACAUUUGGAAACGACUGCUAAUACCGCAUACGAUUGGAUUGCCCAGGUGGGAUUAGCUAGUGGGUGGGUUAAUGGCUCACAAAGGGGACGGUCCCUAGCUGGUCUGGGAGGAUGGCCAGCAACAUUGGAACGGAGCAACGGCCCAGACCCCAAGGGGAGGCAGAAGGGGGGAACUUUGCAAAAGGGGGGAAACCUGGAUGCAGCCCGCCCCGGUGUGGGAAGAAGGCCUUGGGGUGGAAAAGCACGUUCAUCGAGGCGGCGUUACUCGCAGAAGAAGCAACGGCUAACUACGUGCCAGCAGCCGCGGUAAUAC
rnacentral:rRNA from 1 species